GACGUAGGGUGCAAGCGUUGUCCGGAUUUAUUGGGCGUAAAGGGCUCGUAGGCGGUUUGUCGCGUCGGGAGUGAAAACACCGGGCUUAACUCGGUGCUUGCUUUCGAUACGGGCAGACUAGAGGUAUGCAGGGGAGAACGGAAUUCCUGGUGUAGCGGUGAAAUGCGCAGAUAUCGGGAGGAACACCGGUGGCGAAGGCGGUUCUCUGGGCCUUACCUGACGCUGAGGAGCGAAAGCGUGGGGAGCGAACAGG
rnacentral:rRNA from 1 species